UACGGAGGUGGCAAGCGUUGCUCGGAAUCACUGGGCGUAAAGGGCGCGUAGGCGGGGAGGUAAGUCGGGUGUGAAAUCCCUCGGCCCAACCGAGGAACUGCGCCCGAGACUGCUUCUCUUGAGUCCCGGAGAGGAAGGUGGAAUUCCCGGUGUAGCGGUGAAAUGUGUAGAGAUCGGGAGGAACACCGGUGGCGAAGGCGGCGACCUGGGUCGAUACUGACGCUGAGGUGCGAAAGCGUGGGGAGCAAACAGG
rnacentral:rRNA from 1 species